rnacentral:lncRNA from 1 species
UAUGUGGCGGUCGGGAACGAGCCUUUCCUGUCGUCAUACAACGGGUCGUUCCUGAACACGACUCUCCCCGCUCUUCAGAACAUCCAGAACGCCCUCAACGAGGCCGGCGUCGGCGACAAGAUCAAGGCCACCGUCCCCCUCAACGCCGACGUCUACUACGCCUCCGCCGUCACCCCCUCCUCCGGCAGGUUCAGAGACGACAUCGCCGGCCUCAUGACCGAGAUCGUCGUGUUCCUCGCCAAGAACGGCGCCCCCUUCACCGUCAACAUCUACCCCUUCCUCAGCCUCUACGCCGACAAGGACUUCCCCUUCGACUUCGCCUU